rnacentral:rRNA from 1 species
AUUGAACGCUGGCGGCAUGCCUUACACAUGCAAGUCGAACGGCAGCAUAGAAGAGCUUGCUCUUCUGAUGGCGAGUGGCGAACGGGUGAGUAAAGCAUCGGAACGUACCGUGUAGUGGGGGAUAACGCAGCGAAAGCUGUGCUAAUACCGCAUACGCCCUGAGGGGAAAGCGGGGGAUCGAAAGACCUCGCGCGAUUAGAGCGGCCGAUGCCUGAUUAGCUUGUUGGUGGGGUAAAAGCCCACCAAGGCGACGAUCAGUAGCUGGUCUGAGAGGACGAUCAGCCACACUGGGACUGAGACACGGCCCAGACUCCUACGGGAGGCAGCAGGUGGGGAAUUUUGGACAAUGGGGGAAACCCUGAUCCAGCAAUGCCGCGUGAGUGAAGAAGGCCUUCGGGUUGUAAAGCUCUUUUGUCAGGGAAGAAACACCGGCUCUAACACAGUCCGGGAAUGACGGUACCUGAAGAAUAAGCACCGGCUAACUACGUG